AUGGCCGGCGCCACCGCGGCCACGCCGUCAGCCUUCACGCCGGCGGCCCCGCGUCUCCUCCCACGUCGGAAGUCGCCAGGUUCACGCAGAAAGGCAACGUCGCUGCCGCGGUGGGCCGCGUCCGCGUCCACAUCCAAGAGCCGAGCGCCGAGGCCGCGGCCCGCGUCGCCGGCGUCGUUGUCGCUGGACGCGACGGCCGCGGCGGGGAGGAGACCAGGGGUGAGGGAGUACGUGGAGGCGUCGCGGGAGAUGGCGCGGCGGCCGGACGGCGGGCCGCCGAGGUGGUUCGCGCCGCUCGGGUGCGAUGCCGGCGAGCGCGUCCCCGGCGCGCCGACGCUGCUCUACUUGCCCGGAAUCGAUGGAGUUGGGUUAGGGCUCAUCCGGCACCACGACAGAUUAGCAAAAAUGUUCGACAUGUGGUGCUUGCAUAUACCCGUCCAAGACCGCACGACCUUCCAAGGUCUUGUUGAGUACGUGGAGAGGACAGUGAGAUCAGAGAGGUCACGGGCACCGGACAGACCAAUCUAUCUGGUUGGAGAAUCCAUUGGAGCAUGCAUUGCUCUCGCCGUGGCGGCACGGAACCGAGACGUCGAUUUGGUACUGGUCCUAGUCAACCCAGGGACAUCUUUCCACAGGUCACAGCUGCAGUCUCUCUCAGCACUCCUAGAUUUGGUCCCUGAUCCAUUCCAUUUAAGCACUCCACAGUUCCUAAAUUUCCUCACAGGCAACUUCAUGAAGAUGUCAUCAGGAAUUGAUGGAGCUGAUCAGGCAUUAUCGGAGGUCACCAGUGCUUUGCUGCCUUCUCUCAUGUACUUGGCUGAUAUUCUGCCAAAGGAAUCCAUUGUGUGGAAGAUGAAAAUGUUGACGACGGGGGCAUCAUAUGUCAGUUCUCGCUUACAUGCAGUCAAAGCCCAGACCCUGGUGGUUGCUAGUGGAAAUGAUGAACUGCUGCCAAGCCGCGACGAGGCUGAAAGGCUACGUGCCACGCUAAAGAACUGCAGAAUCCGUCACUUCAGGGACAAUGGCCACAAAAUCUUGUUGGAAGAUGGAUUUGAUCUAGCGACAAGCAUUAAAGGAUCUACAUACUAUCGCCGCUCCAGGCAGCCAGACUUUGUUUCAGACUAUCUACCGCCAACUCCUGAUGAGCUAGAAAAGGCGAUUGAUCACGACAGGUUCCUGAAUUUUGCCACCGACCCGGUGAUGCUAUCAACACUGACUGAUGGGAGGAUAGUGAGGGGACUAGCAGGGCUGCCAAGGGAGGGGCCUGUCCUGUUCGUUGGGUACCACAUGCUCAUGGGGUUUGAGCUUGGACCCUUGGUCACAGGAGUGCUGAAAAGCACUGGAAUCCACAUCCGCGGCUUAGCGCAUCCAUUCUUGUUCAACGAGAGUUCAGAGCAGCUCCUGCCGGAUACGUCGUACUUCGAUCUCCCCCGGAUCAUGGGUGCGGUGCCUGUCACCGGGGUGAACUUUUACAAGCUCCUUUCAGAGAAGCAGUUCGUGCUGCUGUUCCCGGGAGGCGCGCGUGAAGCUCUUCAUAGGAAGGGGGAGGAAUACAAGCUGUUUUGGCCUGAGCAGUCUGAGUUCGUGCGGAUGGCAUCAAGGUUUGGAGCAACAAUAGUACCAUUUGGUGUGGUUGGAGAAGAUGAUAUAUGUGAUAUGUUGUUAGACUACAACGAUCUUGUGAAGCUCCCAUUUUAUGACGCCAUUGACAAGAAGAUAAAUGAAGGUGGCCUAAGAAAGCUAAGGACUGAUUCUACGGGGGAGAUAAAAAACCAAGAUAUGCAUCCUGUAGUGCUUACGCCAAAAGUGCCAGGGAGGUUUUACUUCAUCUUUGGGAAGCCCAUUGAAACAAGAGGGAGGGAGAAGGAGCUAAGAGACAAAGAGAAGGCCCAGCACCUGUAUUUGCAUGUCAAAUCUGAAGUGGAGAGCUGCAUCGAGUAUCUGAAGGAGAAGAGAGAGGAGGAUCCCUACAGGAGCAUACUGCCCAGGCUUCUGUAUCAGGCAACUCAUGGUUCUGAUGCAGAAAUACCCACAUUUAAACCCUGA
rnacentral:rRNA from 1 species